UGGGGAAUAUUGCACAAUGGAGGGAACUCUGAUGCAGCGACGCCGCGUGAACGAAGAAGGCUUUCGAGUCGUAAAGUUCUUUUAUAUGGGAAGAUAAUGACGGUACCAUAAGAAAAAGCCCCGGCUAACUACGUGCCAGCAGCCGCGGUAAUACGUAGGGGGCUAGCGUUUUCCGGAAUCACUGGGCGUAAAGGGUUCGCAGGCGGAAAUGCAAGUCAGGUGUAAAAGGCAGUAGCUUAACUACUGUAAGCAUUUGAAGCUGCAUAUCUUGAGAAGAGUAGAGGUAAGUGGAAUUUUUAGUGUAGCGGUGAAAUGCGUGUAUAUUAAAAAGAAUCCCGUUGGCGAAGGCGACUUACUGGGCUCAUUAUGACGCUGAGAAACGAAAGCGUGGGUAGCAAACAGG
rnacentral:rRNA from 1 species